UGGGCGUAAAGGGUGCGUAGGCGGCCUGAGAAGUCAUGUGUGAAAUACCUGGGCUCAACCUGGGUGUUGCACAUGAAACUGGCGGGCUUGAGUGCAGGAGAGGGAAGUGGAAUUCCUAGUGUAGCGGUGAAAUGCGUAGAGAUUAGGAGGAACACCAGUGGCGAAGGCGGCUUCCUGGCCUGUAACUGACGCUGAGGCACGAAAGCGUGGGGAGCAAACAGGAUUAGAUACCCUGGUAGUCCACGCCGUAAACGAUGGAUACUAGGUGUAGGUGCUGAUUGAGGCAUCUGUGCCGUAGUUAACGCAAUAAGUAUCCCGCCUGGGGAGUACGGCCGCAAGGCUGAAACUCAAAGGAAUUGACGGGGGCCCGCACAAGCAGCGGAGCAUGUGGUUUAAUUCGAAGCAACGCGAAGAACCUUACCAGGGCUUGACAUCCCUCUGGAUGGUGUAGAGAUAUACCAGGCCCGUACUAUUGGUGUACAGGACAGAGGAGACAGGUGGUGCAUGGUUGUCGUCAGCUCGUGUCGUGAGAUGUUGGGUUAAGUCCCGCAACGAGCGCAACCCUUAUCCCUAGUUGCCAGCACGUAGUGGUGGGGACUCUAGGGAGACUGCCGUGGAUAACACGGAGGAAGGUGGGGACGACGUCAAAUCAUCAUGCCCCUUAUGUCCUGGGCUACACACGUGCUACAAUGGCCAGCAACAGAGGGGAGCGAAGCGGUAACGCGGAGCGAAUCCCAAAAACCUGGUCUCAGUUCGGAUUGUGGGCUGCAACUCGCCCACAUGAAGUCGGAGUUGCUAGUAAUCGCGAAUCAGCAUGUCGCGGUGAAUACGUUCCCGGGCCUUGUACACACCGCCCGUCACACCAUGGGAGUUGGGGGCGCCCGAAGCCGGUGGCCUAACCCUGAGAAAGGGAGGGAGCCGUCGAAGGUGAACUCAAUGACUGGGGUGAAGUCGUAACAAGGUAACCGUA
rnacentral:rRNA from 1 species